CGCGUAGGUAACCUGCCUGGUAGCGGGGGAUAACUAUUGGAAACGAUAGCUAAUACCGCAUAAGAGUAGAUGUUGCAUGACAUUUGCUUAAAAGGUGCAAUUGCAUUACUACCAGAUGGACCUGCGUUGUAUUAGCUAGUUGGUGGGGUAACGGCUCACCAAGGCGACGAUACAUAGCCGACCUGAGAGGGUGAUCGGCCACACUGGGACUGAGACACGGCCCAG
rnacentral:rRNA from 1 species